rnacentral:ncRNA from 1 species
UAUAGUAGAGGCGCAUUUUACAUCAGUAAUGCUGAGGAUAUGGCAGGCAUAGACGAUCCGGCAUGAAAGGGUACGAUGCCGAAGAUUUAUAUAUCCUGACGUAUAUAUUUCUGGGCAUACAGUUAAGAGCUGUAUGACUGUCAUCGAAAGAUGGAGUGCUGCUUA